rnacentral:rRNA from 1 species
UACGGAGGAUCCAAGCGUUAUCCGGAUUUAUUGGGUUUAAAGGGAGCGUAGGCGGCCUAUUAAGUCAGGGGUGAAAGACGGUGGCUCAACCAUCGCAGUGCCUUUGAUACUGGUAGGCUUGAAUGUAGUUGAGGUAGGCGGAAUGUGACAAGUAGCGGUGAAAUGCAUAGAUAUGUCACAGAACACCGAUUGCGAAGGCAGCUUGCUAAGCUAUGAUUGACGCUGAGGCUCGAAAGCGUGGGGAUCAAACAGG